GUCUAUGGCCAUACUGCCCAGAACAUGCCUGUUCUCAGAAGCUGAGCAGGGUGAGGCCUGGUUAGUAUUUGGAUGGGAGAAUGUUGUGUAACCAUCACUU
rnacentral:rRNA from 1 species